UCAAAAAAAAAAAGGAAAGUAAAAAUACUUUGUGCACAUGUGUGUGCAUAUCCAGGUGCAGUCUAAAUCAGUACCUGUGAAUACACUGCCUGUGUUUCCUGAAAUUGCUUUGUGAUCUUACGGGUCAGCAGAUUAAAGAGGAUAGGAGGGGGAAAAGACAAAGAGUAAGAGAGAUGUUUGUGUGUGUCUGUUUGCUCCUGUUUAGGCACCAGAGUGAGGACCAUUUUUCUGAUUUCACCAUCAAAAUGAGGACCAUUUGCACCAAAGUGAGGACAUUUUGUUGGUCCUCACUGUUUUUGCUAACGGUUACUCCUAAGUACUGGAUUGUGCUCCAGUCCGGUUCCCGUUUCCAGAGUUAUCUCAUACCAAUUAAAUUUCCUUGGGCUGAACCUCCUGGCUGGCAGCGUGUGGUUUCCUGUUUUCUUGACUCGCCUGUGGCUGAACCCUGGUCACCCUCCAACGUGCUCACCCUCCAUCAAGUUCAGACUCACCUCUCUCCUGCUGUACCAGACUCUCAGCCCCCACUCAUUCCUUCCUGGCACUUACCAUCACAUCUCAAUUGAAGACCCGUUCCGUGUUCCCAGUUCCGGAUUCCAGAUUCAUCACUCA